GAGAGAGAGAGAGAGAGAGUUAGUGUGGGAACAAACCAACAUGUUACUGUUUCCUUUUCUCGGUGAGGAACAAACAAACCUGGAGAAGUAGAGAAAGAGACUUGAUCGACUUCUCUACGCUCUGAAUAAAGAGCAAGAAUAAUCGAGGAGAGAGACCGAUCAUCACAAAACUCUGGGGUCACCAGAUUCAUAAUGACCUCUUGAAGACACAGAUUUGAAAACGGUCGCUCACCUGCGAGGUCUUCCUUGGAGGCGUUGGCUCGAGGUGUGCUGGUGCCGGGCUCGAUCCUCUGAGACAACCUGAGCAGAG